AUUGAACGCUGGCGGCAUGCCUAACACAUGCAAGUCGAACGAGUGGCGGACGGGUGAGUAAUGUAUGGGAAACUGCCCUAUGGAGGGGGAUAACUACUGGAAACGGUAGCUAAUACCGCAUACCAUCGGAUGUGCCCAGAUUGGAUUAGCUAGUGGGUGGGGUAAAGGCUCACCUAGGCGACGAUCCCUAGCUGGUCUGAGAGGAUGACCAGUCACACGUGAACGGAGACAAGGUCCAGACUCCUACGGGAGGCACGAGCGGGGAAUAUUGGACAAUGGGCGGAAGCCUGAUGCAGCCAUGGCGCGUGUAUGAAGAAGGCCUUCGGGUUGUAAAGUACUUUACGCGGUGAAGCGUUACCUGCAGAAGAAGCACCGGCUAACUCCGUGCCAGCAGCCGCGGUAAUAC
rnacentral:rRNA from 1 species